rnacentral:lncRNA from 1 species
CUCGGGCUUUUACUUAUUCAAUAAUAAACAGUUGUAAAUAUCGUACAUAGUAAAAAAUAGUGCGGGAAAAUGUUCAUUCAUGAAAUAUUCAUGAAUGAAACGCUGUCUGGCGUAGUAUUCUGUUUGAUUUUCUCUUCAGCCAAUGGCCGAUCCGCAAAGUAGUGUUUGUGAUACUUAUUUUCAAAAUGAAGUUAAAUUCAUCUGAAUUGUUGUUGAACAAUCAUUCCUUUUUUUUUUUUAUUAAAGCUGUAAUCUUUUCAAAAUAGUAGCAACUCAAAAUAUCCAAGAAUAAGAAGUCAAACACUAGUAUACUGUACUACAU